rnacentral:rRNA from 1 species
UACGUAGGGGGCUAGCGUUGUCCGGAAUCAUUGGGCGUAAAGAGCGUGUAGGCGGCCCGGUAAGUCCGCUGUGAAAGUCGGGGGCUCAACCCUCGAAUGCCGGUGGAUACUGUCGGGCUAGAGUGCGGAAGAGGCGAGUGGAAUUCCUGGUGUAGCGGUGAAAUGCGUAGAGAUCCGGAAGAACACCAGAGGCGAAGGCGGCUCGCUGGGCUUGGUCUGACGCUGAGGCGCGAAAGCGUGGGGAGCGAACAGG